CCUACGGGUGGCUGCAGUAGGGAAUAUUGGACAAUGGGCGAAAGCCUGAUCCAGCCAUGCCGCGUGAUAGAUGAAGGCCCUCUGGGUUGUAAAUAUCUUUUAUCUGGGAAGAAACAAUCUUAUUCUUAAGAUCUUGACGGUACCAGAGGAAUAAGCACCGGCUAACUCCGUGCCAGCAGCCGCGGUAAUACGGAGGGUGCAGGCGUUAUCCGGAUUCACUGGGGUGAAGGGGGGCGUAGAAGGGCGUGUAGAAAGCUCCGAGCUUAACUUGGGAACUGCCAUUGAUACUGCCAAGCUUGAAUGUCGUAGAGGUAAGCGGAAUGUUGCAUGUAGCGGUGAAAUGCUUAGAUAUGUUACAGAACACCAAUUGCGAAGGCAGCUUACUAUGCGAUGAUUGACGCUGAGGCACGAAAGCGUGGGGAGCAAACAGGAUUAGAUACCCGAGUAGUC
rnacentral:rRNA from 1 species